CUGAAGAAAUGAUAGGGUUGAGCUGACUCCUUUGGGAGUAUGUGCUUGCACUAUCGCUUUUUCUAUUCUCCCCUGUGAACCUUUUGUAGACUUUUUAUGAUAUUUUGAACUUCUAGAAGUUCAUUUGGAGACUCGCAUUCUUGUUAAUGCUUGACUCUACCCUUAUCAUAUAUCAGUCUAUGAUUUAUCUACUCUUUCAUUUUAUGAAUGUCUUAUUGUUGGUUUCAUUACCAAUAAAUUAUUAUA
rnacentral:misc_RNA from 1 species